rnacentral:rRNA from 1 species
CCUACGGGUGGCAGCAGUGGGGAAUAUUGGACAAUGGGGGCAACCCUGAUCCAGCCAUGCCGCGUGUGUGAAGAAGGCCCUCGGGUUGUAAAGCACUUUCAGUGAGGAAGAACGCCUGGUGGUUAAUACCCAUCAGGAAAGACAUCACUCACAGAAGAAGCACCGGCUAACUCCGUGCCAGCAGCCGCGGUAAUACGGAGGGUGCGAGCGUUAAUCGGAAUUACUGGGCGUAAAGCGCGCGUAGGUGGCUUGAUAAGCCGGUUGUGAAAGCCCCGGGCUCAACCUGGGAACGGCAUCCGGAACUGUCAAGCUAGAGUGCAGGAGAGGAAGGUAGAAUUCCCGGUGUAGCGGUGAAAUGCGUAGAGAUCGGGAGGAAUACCAGUGGCGAAGGCGGCCUUCUGGACUGACACUGACACUGAGGUGCGAAAGCGUGGGUAGCAAACAGGAUGAGAUACCCGUGUAGUC